GGUCUUAUAGUUUAAAGAAAAUAUUAGACUGCAAUUCUAAAGUUAUGUUUUAUUAAGACUU
rnacentral:tRNA from 1 species